rnacentral:rRNA from 1 species
GACGAACGCUGGCGGCGUGUUUAACACAUGCAAGUCGAACGGAAAGGCCUCUUUCGGGGGGUACUCGAGUGGCGAACGGGUGAGUAACACGUGAGUAACCUGCCCUUGACUUUGGGAUAACUUCAGGAAACUGGGGCUAAUACCGGAUAGGAGCUCCUGCUGCAUGGUGGGGGUUGGAAAGUUUCGGCGGUUGGGGAUGGACUCGCGGCUUAUCAGCUUGUUGGUGGGGUAGUGGCUUACCAAGGCUUUGACGGGUAGCCGGCCUGAGAGGGUGACCGGCCACAUUGGGACUGAGAUACGGCCCAGACGCCUACGGGAGGCAGCAGUGGGGAAUAUUGCACAAUGGGUGGAAGCCUGAUGCAGCAACGCCGUGUGCGGGAUGACGGCCUUCGGGUUGUAAACCGCUUUCGCUCAUGACGAAGCUUUGUGUGACGGUAGUGGGUAAAGAAGCACCGGCUAACUACGUG